CAGUCGCCGCGGUAAGACAGAGGAUGCAAGCGUUAUCCAGAAUGAUUGGGCGUAAAGCGUCUGUAGGUGGCUUUUCAAGUCCGCCGUCAAAUCCCAAGGCUCAACCCUGGACAGGCGGUGGAAACUACCAAGCUGGAGUACAGUAGGGGCAGAGGGAAUUUCCGGUGGAGUGGUGAAAUGCGUUGAGAUCGGAAAGAACACCAACGGCGAAAGCACUCUGCUGGGCCGACAUUGACACAAAGAGACGACAGCUAGGGGAGCAAAUGGGAUUAGAUACCCCCGUAGUCCCUGUCUCUUAUAC
rnacentral:rRNA from 1 species